rnacentral:rRNA from 1 species
AAUCCUGGCUCAGGACGAACGCUGGCGGCGCGCCUAACACAUGCAAGUCGAACGAGAGAUGAGGAGCUUGCUCUUCAAAUCGAGUGGCGAACGGGUGAGUAACGCGUGAGGAACCUGCCUCAAAGAGGGGGACAACAGUUGGAAACGACUGCUAAUACCGCAUAAGCCCACGGCUCGGCAUCGAGCGACGAGGGAAAAGGGAAAGGUGAUACCGCCUUUGUAGGAUGGCCGUCCGCGUCCGACUUAGU